rnacentral:rRNA from 1 species
AUGGCAGCGCUAGAGAACCAGAUACUACGUGCUUGUGAGGGCCAGCCUUUUCUACUGCUUUUCGGAUUGUUGAUUCUGAAAUCCAUUGAUUCUGCUUUGGUUUUCCUCCAGUUGAAUGUAACUCUGCUGUACGUUUUGGUUCUGAUUGGUUCAAACCUUUUUGAGGAAUUUUCUGUCAUUUUCUUCCAAAUUUCAAAUUUUAGUUUGAGAUUUUCGUCCGAAUUUUUUCCGAAAUACCGAAAUUCGCCCAUUUCGUUCUGGCCCGGUAAAAAACCAAAAACGAAAUCCAAAAUCUUGAUGGUGAUUUGGAUCCAGGGCUCCGCGGAGGCUGGUGUUUCUGAAAAUAUAAUAAGAACCAUAGUUGAAAAUAGAAUAAGGUUUUUUACCAGCAAAAGAAAAGAAGAAAAUAUUUUGGAGACCUCAUACAAAUACAUCCAGAACAACAACAAAACUUUGUAG